CGUUAUGGCGGCUGUGUGUGGGCGGACUUCGGUCCGGCCGGUUUCUUGGCUUCCCGGUUUCUCACCCUGCACAUAGCUGCCUCCCUC
rnacentral:antisense_RNA from 1 species